rnacentral:rRNA from 1 species
CUGUGCCUACAAGCACCUAGAGCACGUCAAUGUGUGAUAGGGUACUUUUUGUAGAACGGUCCGGCGAGCGAUUGUAUGCAGCAAGGUUAAGGACUUAAGGUCUGGAGCCGAAGCGAAAGCGAGUUUGAAAAGGGCGUUAAGUUGCAUAUAAUGGGCCCGAAACCGGGUGACCUACCCAUGGUCAGGUUGAAGUGGAAGUAAAAUUCCAUGGAGGACCGAACCGACCUCCGUUGAAAAGGCGGCGGAUGAACUGUGGGUAGCGGAGAAAUUCCAAUCGAACCCGGAGAUAGCUGGUUCUCCCCGAAAUAGUUUUAGGACUAGCCUCAAGUUAGAUACCUGGAGGUAAAGCACUGAAUAGCCUAGCGGCCGAGAGGUUAGCGAAGCUUAUCAAACUCAGAAUGCCAGAAUAUUGAUGCCUGGGAGUCAGACAGUGUCAGAUAAAUGUCAUUGUCAAAAGGGAAACAGCCCAGAUCUACAGCUAAGGUCCCAAAGUCAGGUUAAGUGGAAAACGAUGUGAAGAUACGCAGACAACCAGGAUGUUGGCUCAGAAGCAGCCACUCAUUCAAAGAGUGCGUAAUAGCUCACUGGUCGAGCGUCUUUGCGCGGAGAAUUUAACGGGGCUAAACCUGACACCGAAGCUUAGGCAAUCCAGUAAUGGAUUGGGUAGGGGAGCGUUGUAUACGCGGAGAAACAGUAGCGCAAGCGGCUGUGGAGUGUAUAGAAGUGAGAAUGCCGGAAUGAGUAGCGCGAAUGCAGUGAGAAUCUGCAUGGCCGAAAGCCUCAGGUUUCUGGAGGAAGGUUCGUCCGCUCCAGGUUAGUCGGGAGCUAAGGUGAGGCCGGAAGGCGUAGCCGAUGCACAGACGGUAGAGAUUCCGUCACCACCAAAAGAGUUAAGCACAGGGACACAUAUGAAGUCUCAGAGCCGGGUGUUGGUUCCGGUAGAGAUCGAGGGAAAUUAGUACCGAAGUCUGGGAUGGAAGAUGGCGAGAAAAGCUGUGUGUAUUUCUGAGGUGCCCGUACCGCAAACCGACACAGGUAGGUAGGAAGAAGAUUCUAAGGCCAACGGGAGAAGGGUUGUUAAGGAACUCGGCAAAUUGACCCCGUAACUUCGGGAGAAGGGGUGCUCCAGAGAUGGAGCCGCAGAGAAUCGGCCCAAGCAACUGUUUACCAAAAACACAGGUUUGUGCUAAAUCGAAAGAUGACGUAUACGAGCUGACGCCUGCCCGGUGCUGGAAGGUUAAGAGGAGAUGUGCAAGCAUUGAAUCGAAGCCCCAGUGAACGGCGGCCGUAACUAUAACGGUCCUAAGGUAGCGAAAUUCCUUGUCAGGUAAGUUCUGACCCGCAUGAAAGGCGUAAUGAUUUGGGCACUGUCUCAACAGCCCGCCCGGCGAAAUUGUAGUACCGGUGAAGAUGCCGGUUACCCGCGACAAGACGGAAAGACCCCAUGGAGCUUUACUGUAGCCUAAUAUUGGGUUUCGAUGUUGCAUGCACAGGAUAGAUGGGACUCUUGGAAACCAAGGCUUUGGCUUUGGCGGAGAGGCCGUUGGGAUACCAUCCUUGCGAUAUUGGAAUUCUAACCUGCGGCUCUGAAUCGAGUCGGGGGACAUUGUUAGGUGGGCAGUUUGACUGGGGCGGUCGCCUCCUAAAGAGUA